GCGCCCGUAGCUCAGUUGGAUAGAGCGACGGACUUCGAAUCCGAAGGUCAGGGGUUCAAAUCCCUUCGGGCGCG
rnacentral:tRNA from 2 species